AAUGCUACGGAAGCAUGUCCCGCCCUCAGAUGUGUGUGGAGGGCGGAGCUGCCCAGGUUGUGUGGUUCUAGCCCAGCCUGCCCCGAGUAUGGGCCUCGUCGAGAUCCAGGACCACCGGCUCUCCUGGAUGGCCCCGUCGGGCCUGAGAACCUGAGGCUCAGCGUGGUUGAGGGGCGGGGCUGGCCACCUGGGGUAGCCCCUUCCUCUGCUGGGCUGCAGCAGAAUCAGGCUGUUCCUUAUUACAAUAAAGUGACUUCUGCCCACUCCUUGAGCCCCGGGAAGUUGCGCCCACAUCAUCUGAGUGCCCCGCUCUGACGCCCGGCCACUCCCACUCUCUCCAUCUCCUUCCCCUGAACACUGCUCCCUGUGUCCCACAUGCCACGCUUUCCAGCCUCCUCUGUGUCCUGGCCCCUCACCAGCCCCCUCCCCUGUCUGCCAGAGGGGUGCCAGGUGCAGAGAACAGAGGGACAGGUGUCUCCCUGACGUGGGGUCUGGGGAAGUUCCUAAGUGUCUCGAAGUUCCUAAGCCCAUCAUCUGACCUGCUGAGACCCCUGAGCAUCUUCCUGACCAUAUAAUAAAAUAAAUUGUCAUGAGCCAAGCCAGUAACCAGGCAGCCCAGAGGCCAGUGGAGGAAGGAAGCCAGCUUUGGGGCCCAGCUGACUCAUGAGGGAAGCAUGCCUUGGGGGGAAGGCUUGGCCGGAGUCUGGUGGAAGGUUGAUCAGUACGUUGUCUGGCUCCACAUCUCCUGGGAGAAGAGGUGGAGGCCCCUGUUCCCUUGGCUGUAAGAUGUGUUUUGGACCUACCUUGCUGAUAGGACAGUUUCGGUUUGUAAGUUUGCAAUGUGUUUCCGAAGAGAAGGAAGUUGAAGCCUUUGCAUCCAAACAGGAAGUUUCAUCAUCCCUGGCACGUGGGAGUCAGCGGUCCAGUACAGGGAGUGACCAGGAUGUCCGAAGCCACGAGGCACUAAAAAGAGAACACAAGGCUGGGCUCCAACCUGAAAGCCUUGGGUUACUAUUGAAAACCCAGCUCACCGUCUGGAAGAGGAGAGGAUACCCCAGCAGAGAGCUCUGCUUGGUCAGAAUGCCACUCAGCGUAAAGGUGUAGAAACUUCAGGAAGACACAUUCGAUUUCCUCCCUCCACGAUCAUCCUUGCAAGGACCAGACGAAAGGGAGAACAACCUGAGAUUCCCCAGAGAUCCCCCUGGAUCUCCCAGGUUAUGCAGCUUGCUCAAGGUCUUGUAGUAAGUGGAAACUUGAACGCACGUCUGACUCAAGAGCCCGUGAUCCAACCACCGUGUGGUGAUGCCUCUUUUGAGGGGUAAGAGUGGGAAAUGAUCACACAGUGUCUGAGACCCUGGUUUGGAGAGAACACCAGCAAGAAUCAGUUGUGGCACGCGGGAUCUUCAUUGUGACAUGCGG